rnacentral:rRNA from 1 species
UUCCGGUUGAUCCUGCCGGAGGUCACUGCUAUUGGGGUUCGGCUAAGCCAUGCGAGCGGAGGGCGCGGUCGAAAGAUCGUGGCCCCGCACACGGCUCAGUAACACGUAGUCAACCUACCCUUGGGACGGGGACAACCUCGGGAAACUGAGGCUAAUCCCCGAUAGGCGGGGGACGCUGGGAUGCCUCCUCGCCCAAAGCUCCGGCGCCCGAGGAUGGGACUGCGGCCUAUCAGGCUGUUGGUGGUGUAACGGACCACCAAACCUGCGACGGGUACGGGCGAUGGGAGUCGGAGCCUGGAGAUGGGGACUGAGACAAGGCCCCAGGCCCUACGGGGCGCAGCAGGCGCGAAAACUCCGCAAUGCGCGCAAGCGUGACGGGGGGACCCCAAGUGCCGUUGGUCUUUUGAUCGACGGUUUUUAGGAAGUCUAGGAAGCUUCCAGAAUAAGGGCUGGGCAAGACUGGUGCCAGCCGCCGCGGUAACACCAGCAGCCCAAGUGGUGGCCACGAUUAUUGGGCCUAAAGCGCUCGUAGCCGGAUCAAUAAGUCCCUUGUGAAAUCGGGCCGCCUAACGGUUCGGCGUGCAAGGGAUACUGUUGGUCUUGAGGCCGGGAGAGGUCGGAGGUACUCCUGGGGUAGCGGUGAAAUGCUCUAAUCCUAGGGGGACCACCAGUGGCGAAGGCGUCCGACCAGAACGGACCUGACGGUGAGGGGCGAAGGCUAGGGGAGCGAACGGGAUUAGAUACCCCGGUAGUCCUAGCUGUAAAGCAUGCGGGCCAGGUGUCUAGCGCUCCUUGAGGGCGCUAUGUGCCGGAGGGAAGCCGUUAAGCCCGCCGCCUGGGAAGUACGGUCGCAAGGCUGAAACUUAAAGAAAUUGGCGGGGGAGCACCACAAGAGGUGGGACCUGCGGUUCAAUUGGAUUCAACGCCGGA